ensembl:lncRNA
GAAUUUUUCUGCCCACCCACUCUACCAGCUAAUUUUCCGAAGACUAAUUAGGUUGUUGAAUAUUUUUUUAAAAUGCUCCACUUCCGGAGACAAAGAAAGGGUAUAGCAACCUGAUACUUGCUAUACAUAAAGAUUGGUAAGAGGAAAAAACCCUGUCAGGGAGGAAAUCUUAUUUUGCAGAGUGAAGUAGAGGAAUUAGACUUGACUAUUUCUGGAAUACGAACUUAGCUAGGCGAGGAGACUCUAUUUCCUGAUUUAGGGUUUUCCAUGGCCAAUCUCCACUGUGACCUCGUGGACAAAAAAUGAUUUUUGUUUUCUUCAGAGAAGAACAAGUAGGUGGUUGAUUUAGAGGCUGUUGGACUGGCUCAAUUUUCAGAACAAGUGAUUUACUGUGGAUCUUUCAGAAUUCCUCUUUUAAUAAGUUUUAUUUUUAAAGAAAAGCAAUGAUAACUGAGAUUUCUGGUCCUCUGACCAAGUAGAUGAAAGUUAUCAAAGGGCAAGCAGCACCAGGUUUCCUUGUCCCACUUGUGCCCAGAAGAAGAAGAAGAAGAAAUUCAGAUGCUGCUGAAGUCUAGCAAGGACACAGAGCCGCAGUGGUGUUUAGUUCCUGUUGAAGGUCAGCCUGCAACAAGCUUGGCAUCCAGGAAGCAAUUCAAUUCUGUUUAGAAAUCGUAUCUGGUAAUUACACUCUCCUUAAAUCUAUGCUUGGGUUGUAAAUCCAGAAAAAAACCUUCCAGCAGCCACCCCUUGAUCCUUUUUAAAAGGGCAAUUUCAAAAAAGUUCAAGAACCUUCAAGGUGCGGGUAAUUCUUUGAUAUUUAGGAGGAUUGCGAUUAAAAGUCAUUAGAUUUAAUUAGGUGGAAAUAAGGAUUCGUCCUUUAAAAAAAAAGUGAAACUAAGUAAAAGCAUUCUUGCUAUGUACUUUGUCCUGAAUGGAUUUGUGAAUGUGUAUAGAACAGCGUGGCCAUACCAAAUGUUUUUCCUUACAGGCUGCUUUUUACAGUCUUUCUGAAAGAAAACGAAACCAAGUGGUUUUUAGGGAUAAAAAAGCGCAUUUUUAAAAUUUUUACCUCAAGAACUGAAAAUUAAAUAAGUAAAUUUUAUUUCAACCUCCCUAAAUUCUUAGCAAGUGUUGAAACAUGCUGAGGAGAGAAAUACUUAAAUUUUACAGGAAAGAGCAAAAUCAAGUAUAUGCUUUCAAUGGACUUAGCUCUUUCAGGAUAUUUUCUGCCUUGGUACUAAAACUCCUAAUGCGGUACCCCGAGCCAAAGACAACAAAUACCUUCGUGCACAGCAUCUCUCCACCCUCCCUCGCUCAGGCAGCUACUGUGAGGCAGUCACAGUGUUUGUUUAUGAAAACUUCAAAGAUAAAGACUACCCAAUGGUGUCAAAAGAAAAAGCAACAGCAGUAAAGGCAUCCAGAUGUGACUGCACAUGGUACAUUGGAAAAAACACGGGCUGUCAAGUCAGACAGAUGGAGGCUCAAACCCUGAUUCUACCACUUAAAAGCCUUGACGAUUGACGUUCUCUGAAAUUUUGCUUCCUUGUCUGUGAAAGGGGGCUCUUAAGAAUGCAUCACAUGGAAUUGCUAUAGGAAUGAAAUGAGACGUAUCCUGUCAAGUAGUACGAAUAUUAUCUCUGGUGAACAAUAAUUUUCAAUUUCCUUCUCCUCCCUCACCUCCAGACAUCUAGAUGGAAUGGUCUCUGGUUAACUUAAAAGCCAUCUCUAAUUUCGGCUUCCAAACGUGUAAUACCAUAAUAACUACAAAUAAAUGACAACAACAAUCAAUGAUGUAGUACUCUGAUUAUUGAGUGGUAUUUGGCUUCUG